ACGAAUAGACUUAUUAGAUUAUUUAUAGGGUUAAUUGUACGUUUUACCCGUUAUCAAAGGCAAAAACAAAAAAAAUAUCCCACAAAUUAAAACAUAUAAAUACUACCCACUUUUUGUUAAACUUGACAUUUAUACCUUAAAAAAAAAUCCCCAACAAGCCCCCUCUCCAGUCUCCCCUAUCAAAUCGCCUCUCCCCUUUCUUUUCCUACUCUCUCUCUCUCUGCCACCUUCCCC
rnacentral:lncRNA from 1 species